CAUGACCUGAGCCAAAGGCAGGCACUUAACCAACUGAGCCACCCAGGCCCCCCUCUUUAGAUUACCUUUAUAAACUUAAAAUGUCAUGCAGGAUUCACUUCCAAACUUUUUAUAACAAAAAAGUUUUCUGCCCCCACUAGGUGUUGUGAAUGAUGUGUGAUCUUGCGUUCAGGAAUUCAACUAAACAUUUUAUGUCCCGAAGGAUCAGAAGACAAACUGAACACAUCUGCAAUUAUCUGGAUUUAGCCCCAAUGGUUUUAUGCAAAAACUCUGAAUGCAUUUAAGGUUUAUGUAUUGUGAAGACACUGUGUAAUGGUUACUCAUUUCAUUUCUUUGUUAAGAACCUUUGUCUAAUGUUAAAAUUUUGAAGGAAAAGUUUUAUGUUUAUACCUAUUUAGUUGCACCAUUAGUUCAAGCUAUAGACUAAGGAAGUGCUUGAGUUCUAAAGCAUGUUUCAUUCAAUGAUUAUUUUAUAGAGUUGGUAUCUAAUGCUGUAUUUGUAAAGCCAUCAGUUAUCAAACCACGUAAGUGUUAAAUUCCUUUUGAAGCUUUCAAGAGGUAUUUUAAUUAAGUUUUCAAAAUUGCUUUUGGAUCAUCUUCACAAUUCUUUAGUGCUUUAUUUCCAUUAACAAAAUAGUAAUUAAAAUUAAAUUUUAAAGGAAAUAACCACAGUAGGUCAUACUUUUAUUAACUCGAGGUAGAUAAUGAACCUGUCCUAUAUAAAGACUGAGCUAAAUCUGCUGAGAGGCUGGGGAUACUAUAUUUUAAUUAAGGUAAUCCUUGUUUGCAUCUAACAAACAGCAUUGCCACUUAGAAAUUUAAGAUCUUAGUGAUGCAUAUUAGUACGUUACCUCAACAAUCUAAUAGAGAUUUAAUACUUGUGUUUUAAAGAGCAAUUUGUCAUAAAUUAAGAGCAUUUGCAUAGUAAAUUUCAAGGAUGUUAUUCUUUGCAGAGUUUUCUAUAAUUAAGGAAUACAUUAAACAUUAAAAUUUUACAAUUUUUGUAGUACUAGGAAAGCUUGCUUUGUUAUUAAACUGAGCCUUAUUUUCAGCAGCACAUAACCCUAUGGAAAAGUCCAUCCUUAAUAAAG
rnacentral:lncRNA from 1 species